UACGUAGGGGGCAAGCGUUGUCCGGAAUCAUUGGGCGUAAAGCGCGUGUAGGCGGUUCGAUAAGUCUGCUGUGAAAGUCCAGGGCUCAACCCUGGGAUGCCGGUGGAUACUGUCAGGCUAGAGUACGGAAGAGGCGAGUGGAAUUCCCGGUGUAGCGGUGAAAUGCGCAGAUAUCGGGAGGAACACCAAUUGCGAAGGCGGGUCUCUGGGCAGUAACUGACGCUGAGGAGCGAAAGCGUGGGGAGCGAACAGG
rnacentral:rRNA from 1 species